UAGUGGAUAUAGUGCUGGAGACACGGACAUACCCGUCAGAUCGGACCCGGGCGCUGCUCUUAUGCGCAGCGAAAGAGCGCAGAAACGUGCUUGCCAGGCAGAGGAACGAAAGAAUUCCAGAGAUGUGUGAUGAAAAAAUUGGUGGAGCUCAUGGAGAUGGUGAAAAGAAUUGAGGCGGACCACCAAAGGGGAGGGACAUACCUGAGGGACAUUAAAAACCAUGUCGACCAUGGACGAGGUCCUCAUGUUAGAAGACAAGCUCAAUCAGGAGGAGGAGAGACAGGCUCUGAUGGCACAGUUAAGCAAGGUCGGGGGGAAGGACAUAAAAGACUGUUGCAAAAAUUUUGAACAGAUUGAUGACGAAUGGCCUGAUGUCCC
ensembl:lncRNA